GAUGAACGCUGGCGGCGUGCCUAACACAUGCAAGUCGAACGGACGGACGAUAAGCUUGUGUCUUUGAUGUUAGCGGCGGGCGGGUGUGUAACGCGUGUAUCACCCACUUAUAUUUCUGGGAUAAUUUCGGGAAACCGGAUCUAAUACCGGAGAAUAUUUUGCACCGCAUGGUUCAAAAGUGAGUGACGGCCUUGCUGUCUGUAAUCGCUGCUUCCGGGCUGGAUUAUCUGGUCGGUAAGGUAACGGCUUACCAAGGCGACGAUGCAUAGCCGAGCUGAGAGGGUGAUCGGCGACACUGGAACUGGGACACGGUCCAGACUCCUACGGGAGGCAGCAGUAGGGAAUCUGCGGCAAUGGGCGAAAGCCUGACGGAGCAAGGCCGCGUGAGUGAUGAAGGUCUUCGGAGCGUAAAGCCCUGUUAUUAGGGAAGAACAGAUGUGGAAGGAAAUGUGGAGAUAGUGACGGUACCUAAUCAGAAAGCACCGGCUAACUACGUG
rnacentral:rRNA from 1 species